GAUGAACGCUGGCGGCGUGCCUAAUACAUGCAAGUCGAACGAAGCCUUCGGGCUUAGUGGCGAACGGGUGAGUAACACGUUGGUACCUACCCUCUAGUGGGGAAUAACUGGCCGAAAGGUCGGCUAAUACCGCAUAAUACCGCAAGGUUAAAGCAGCAAUGCGCUAGAGGAGGGGCCUGCGUCCCAUUAGCUUGUUGGUAGUGUAAUGGACUACCAAGGCGACGAUGGGUAGCUGGAUCGAGAGGUUGACCAGCCACACUGGGACUGAGAUACGGCCCAGACUCCUACGGGAGGCAGCAGUAAGGAAUCUUCCACAAUGGACGAAAGUCUGAUGGAGCAACGCCGCGUGCAGGAUGACGGCCUUCGGGUUGUAAACUGCUUUUAUAUGGGAAGAUUAUGACGGUACCAUAUGAAUAAGGACCGGCUAACUACAUGCCAGCAGCCGCCGCCG
rnacentral:rRNA from 1 species